AUUUUAUAUUAUCAAUAUAAUGUAAAUAUUAAAAAAGUGCAAUGUAAAUAUAAAGUUAAAUAUUAAUAUAUUUCUUAAUUAAUGUAAAUAAAUAUUAAUUAUUAAGUACAUGUUAUCGGAAUGGGAGGUCUUUGGACGCCAUUCAUGAUGGUGCGCGGGUGUAGUAACAUCAUUUUGAAUAGCGUUGGCAUCCUGCACGUCAUUUUAAAUAGCGUCUUCCUUUUUGAAUAGUGUCCGGAGCCUUGCAUGUGAAUUUGAAUAGCAUUUUUAUAGUGCUCAACCCGAUUUUAUAAUUUUUCUUCGGUCCACCCUGUUUUCAUAAUUUUUGCUCCACUGUGCCUUUGUACGGUAAAAAUCCCAAUAGUAAUAAUAAAAUGGGAAAUGGCAAGUGGAAGGAUCACUAUUGUCAAUUGGGUUGAAAAAGUCUCAGGAAAGAGAUAGAAUAUGCGAGAGAAAAAGAACAAUUAAUUUAAAUAAGAAAUGAGAUUUUCAGAGGGUAGGAGCUCUCUCAGCAGAACCAGCAAGGACAGUAAGCAAAUUGUUGCCAAAAGGAUCACUGAGGUGUUUGGCAAGGUUUUCCACAGGUCCUUCUCCUGUUACAUAAGCUUGGAAAUAGAAUCCCAACAUUGCAAACAUUGCAAGUCUUCCAUUCUUUAUCUCCUUCACCUUCAAUAUUGCUGCCUGGUCAGGAUCCUUAGCCAGCCCCAAUGGGUCAAAUGGACCACCUGGGUGAAGCUUGUCCUCCAAAUCCAAGCCAUUGAUAAUUCUGUAGUAUUCAGCACCACCAACAAGAACAAUCUCAGCAACAACUGCCACAAUGAGAUUGAUUGGGAUUUUGUUUCCAAAGUAGUUCAAAGUGCCUCCAUCAAGAAGCAGAGCUCCGGUCUUAAACCAGACAGCCUCAGGGCCACAGUUAGCACCAAAUUUGUUGAAGGCUUCAGGGAUCACAAAUCCAGCUGCUCCAAGCAUUGCCCAUCUUGCAUGAAUCAGCUCGUACGCCUGAUAUCUGUAAUAAUAUUAAGAAAAAAAAAAUUCCAAACAUUGAGAUAAGGAAAAGUACUUAUUUUUCUUUUCUAGAUCAGAUACAUAAUAGACUAUAAGAGAAAAUUUCCAAAUAUACGGUGAAUAAUGGGAGACAUACUUUUCGAAGUCCUGGGGUUUCUUGCUAAGUCCAAAGGGAUCAUAACCAUAACUGCAUUUCAAGUAUAAAGAAAAGAAUUACUAACAUUGCAAGAAACUACAGAAACUACUUGAUUAGAAGCACACAACUGCUAGGUCAGGGGUUCAAACCUACGCAGAAAUGGUAACCAUAUGUACAAAGAACAAAUAAAUCCCAAUUAAGUAUUGGGCAAGACAUUAUAAUCUUACUCUCCAGGAACUUCUCCGGUCAAGUAUUCUGGGAUCUCAGACCGGUCCAAGAGUCCUUCCGGCAAGAAAAUCCUUCUGUCUGGACCAUACCACUUAGCAAGCUCGUCGUUGGCUGGUGAAACAGCAGAAGGCUUGGGUUUGGAAGGUGGAGGAGCAGGCUUCUUCCUGGAGAAAAGAGCAACAGUCUUGAAAGUAGCAGGGUUUGAUGCAGUGGGAGCCGCUGCAGACCUGGUGGCAGAACCGCUGAAGUUGAGAGGAUUUCCAAGCAUUUCAGACACUCCAAGAGAGGCAGCCGCCGUAGAAGCCGCUAGGGAAGCCAUCUCUCUCUGCUGCUGUUAAGUAAGUUUUAUUGUUUUUCUGAUAAUGGAGUAAUGAAGAGACUGGGAAGAGAGAUACUAUAUGCUUGAGCUGGUGGAUGCGAACAUUCCACGUAGGAUUCAUUUUCAUGGGUUUUGAUUGGCUGAUGAGGAAGUGCGUGUAAUCUGAAGCUGGGCUUAGAUUGGCUGGUUUGCUGAUGUGGCAGAUGAUGGUGCUGACAUGGAAUCAUUGUUGAGGCCUCAGAUAAUGUUCAAGAUUAUCCUAUCCACAUCUCAUUAUCUCUUAUUUUGCGGAUAAUUUCUUGCCUGCAGGGGUGAUUCUGGUGCUUUCAUAGUUACCCUUGGCUACGUUGCCUGUAUAUAUUUAUUCAAUUAAUAAUUAAUAUAUUAUUUAAAUUUAUAAUGAAUUUUAUCUAAAAAUGAUAUUUAUAGCUUUGGUACUUAAACAUCCUACUAAAAGACAUGAAUCCUGGAACAUGCAGAAAGAGAGUUUCAUUGUAGCCAUUGUUAUUAGGCACAUCAAGUAUUGCUUCUCAUAAAUUUCACUGGAAUAAAUCUAAACAUUAGCGACCAGAUAUGAAGCACACAUCAAGAGUCCCUAAUUAAUGCAAUUUGUGCAGCAAGAAACUCAUUUCAUUUUCUCCACUUCUCAAUUUCUCUUGAAGUUGCUCUGACUAGCUUCUUGGUGUUGAUGACUAGUUCAUCAAUAAGACCACCAAUCUCAUCCCUGACAAUGACAAGCAAAAGAAAUACAAAGACAUUAAUUAAUUUGAAGUGUUGCCAUCAUCAAUAACUUUGUGGAAUCUAAAAUGAAACAUUUAUACUAUAAUUUUAUGUUGCCUUGAACCAAAAGAAAAGCAUCGAGUAGUAGUAGUGUCCAGAAUUCAAACUGCACUAUAUCAACAAUUUUCAUGCCUAUGCUUCUAACAUUUGUGUUUUAAAGUCAAGGGAAGCGUCGGAAUAAUUAUGCUGGUUCCACAACAUAUCUAUUCUUUCAAAUUUUUGCCUGUCAACUAACUUGCUUACAAGCUGAAACAUAAAUGCCAAACAUUGACAUAACUCUAAUAGAACAUCUCCAAUCCAUGCAAUGGAUCCUUACGAACUAUAAAAGCAAAACUGCAAAGACAAACGUCAAUGGAGAGAGAGAGAAAGAGAGAUUAUGCAAGCAACUACUGCCUGAUAUAAGCUGCCUACAAAUUUUGGGAACAAAUUAACUGUAUGAAAAUAACGUUAUUAAUAUUAUUGAAAAUUCAUACAUUCAUUAAUAAUGCAAAAUCGUUAACAAGUCCAUUAUUGAAUUCAUGUUCAAGUUUUAGCGAAUAAUUCUUUAUUAAUCUUGUUCUCGUCACUUGUCACACAAUGUAACUCGAAUACAUUAUUAUGUCUGUCUAUGAACAGGGAACUUCUUUUAUUUCUUACAAAAAAGAUACCAAGGCAGAAUAAAGUGCAAUAUUGAACAUAUAGAUAAAAUCCCCCCUAGUGCUAGUGGAGUGUUAUGCUUGUUAUGCAUAGUGUAGUCUUUAUGUUGAUGAUAUUAAGGAAAUAUGGAACAGCUGCUAAACAAAAUGCAGAACUGGGGCAUAUCAAAACACUGUCCUCGUGUAUAUUUGCACCAUAUCGUGAUAUACUCCAGGAUUCAACAGGAACAACAAGAGGAGUUCAAUAAACCAGCAAAUGAGAAUAAUGGUCUCAAUAAUCUGUCUUUCGCUUGAAGGAGCAAUAUCUCUUGGGUUGGAAGAUUUCCUGGACCAUGGAAGAACGUGCCGACAUUAGAGUAUCUCCGAUUCUCAUCAUGAGCUACGCCUCUACCCACCCCAUACCCAAAUCCAUAACCAAUUCCACAUCCAGCACCGAACCCAAAACCCAUUUGUAAACCAGGAAUCCCAGGACCCAGCCCAACUCCUCCGAUGAGGCCGACGCCGAAGCCAACACCGCAGCCGGCGCCGAGGCCGAAAGCGGGGCCGACCUUUCCAAGGUCUUUAAACCUCACUUCUGGAAGCUUCCAGAGUAAACCCUUUUCCUCUUCGUCACUUCUUCUGCUAUAAUUGUUCAUCGUUUGGGGAUAAAUGUGCCUUGCUUGUCCUCGGAGUCAUAGGUCCUAGUAUAUUUGGGGGCUUUCCGCCACUUAGUGAAAAUUUCAAAAACCUCCCCCGUAGCUCCGAUAUUU
rnacentral:misc_RNA from 1 species